GGGGGAUAUUGCACAAUGGGCGAAAGCCUGAUGCAGCAACGCCGCGUGAGGGAAGACGGUUUUCGGAUUGUAAACCUCUGUCUUUGGUGAAGAAAAAAAUGACGGUAGCCGAGGAGGAAGCCACGGCUAACUACGUGCCAGCAGCCGCGGUAAUACGUAGGUGGCAAGCGUUGUCCGGAAUUACUGGGUGUAAAGGGAGCGCAGGCGGGGAGACAAGUCAGCUGUGAAAACUAUGGGCUUAACCCAUAAACUGCAGUUGAAACUGUUUUUCUUGAGUGGAGUAGAGGUAGGCGGAAUUCCGAGUGUAGCGGUGAAAUGCGUAGAUAUUCGGAGGAACACCAGUGGCGAAGGCGGCCUACUGGGCUCUAACUGACGCUGAGGCUCGAAAGUGUGGGGAGCAAACA
rnacentral:rRNA from 1 species